AGAUAGUCUAACCCUCGGGAGGACGUUUACCACGGAGUGAUUCAUGACUGGGGUGAAGUCGUAACAAGGUAGCCCUAGGGGAACCUGGGGCUGGAUCACCUCCUUA
rnacentral:ncRNA from 1 species